AGAGAUAUAUAUCGGAUAGAACAAAGUCCUGUCAAAACAACUUUACAGACAUUUCCAGUGUGAUAUUGUUUCCCCUCCUCUCACCCCAGUAUACUCCACAGCCAUUUCCCCCCGACCUGUACGUACCUGCGGGGCGGGCAGACAGACUCUGCGCAUGCCCUCCGAGCCUGAGUGCAGGCCGGGAUACUUGGGCUCGUGCAGGGCCGGGUGCAUGGAGAAAUGCUGCUUGCCGUUCAUGGUCAUCAUCCUCCUCCCUGCAAGCACCUCGCAAGCAGUGUGGCCCCUGACAUGAAAGCCGGGGAGCGGACAGCUACAGAGCUCCUCUGCUCUCCUUCAACAGACUGAGCUGUUAACAUCGGCAGCGCCUCCCGGCAUCCCUCUCUCCCUCUUCCUCCCCUCCUCCUCCUCCUCCUUCCCUCCCACCUGCUCCUCUGCUCAACUUACAAGUUGAAAAAUGUUGUCCUCUGUGCGCAAGCGUCGAAUAAUAAACUCAACCAAUAUCACUAUAAUAUUCUAUAUUCUAGUGACGUAGUGCCUGUUUUAUAUAGAGUACUUAAUAGAGUAGAGUACUGUUAAUAAUCAUAACAGUCUUCGUUGCCUGUAUUAUCACUGCUCCUAAAAAGAAUGGAGUUUGAUUUGAACUCAUUCACAAGUUUACGCACAUAUCGUUUCACCAUUGUUACCUCAGCAUAUAUUAAAUAUGUCAUUAGAGGGCUACUAGGCGUUGUAUAAGUGUUAAAAAGCAUAAAACAUGACAGUACUCACUAUAAAACCAUGGAUUCCUCCACAAGUGUUCCCAGUCAUGUCAGCACCAUGGACAGCGCAGCACCACAGCGCUUUAAAUGCAGGUUGCUCAUGCGCUGUCCAUGGUGCUGAAACCUAUAAGAGCGGAUUGAUAGAUUCAAUAAAAGAUAAAACACACUGCAGGCUAAUUGAACAAUGGUUUUGGUGUUACGUGCUUCAUAUUGUGUCUAAUGUCUGCAGGAUGCUGACCAGUUGACCUAAAGGCCUUGUCCUGGUCUCCUCCCAUGUGAACGCCCAUCCUGAGGCUGCUUUUACAGACUUCUCAUGUGGCUGCCUGGUUAAAACUCAUGAAGCUGAGGUGGACGGGCCGAAAGAGGAGCCAGGUGGGCAGAGGCGGAGUGAUGACACAGUGGGUCCAUCCGAUCCUGCCGGCCACCUCUCUGGUUCCCCAGACUCUGAAUAAUUUAGCAGCAUGGUGGCAGGCAUCCAUUACCCCCGUUGGCAUGUUCUUAUUCAUUACACAGAUUAAAACAGCCAAGGUCUUUUUCUCACCAUGUUAACCUGUUGCAGACUGGGGAGCCAAACUUUAAGACAUGCAUGUAGGCCAGCUUCUUUAAUGGGGACAGGGAAGAGAAAACACAUCUAAACUGAAUUUGAUUUGUGCAUUCUGCAUUCUUUAUAAUUUCAGUGAAAAUGAUGAGGGUAUCUUUAAAAUUGUAGGCUAAGUUUGGUUGAGAUCUUUAAUCAAAGACAGAAUGUUUUGAUUUAAUUGAGGAGUGUAAAUGUCAAAUGUUACUAUAACAGUAUCCUAUAGAAAAAGGCCAUAGACAAGAAGCUGUCAAGCAGCAUGUUAGUCUGAAUAAAGCAUGAAAUCCCUUUUCUCACCCUCUAACACCCCUCUACCCCUCGUUUUUCCUUAAUAGCAUAGCCGGGACCAUUCAUAAUUUAGUGGCCAUUGUUUACAUCUCUGUCAUCUGUUUGCUUUUCAUACCCUGAAAAUCACAUCUGACAUGUUUUUUGAAGAGCGCUGUCAUCUUUGUGGCCAGAUGUGACCGCCAGCUCUUCUCUUUUCACCCCCAUCUGGCCUCCAUACAGCUGCAACUCAACUUCAACAGAUGACCUAAGUACUAUCACGGCAUUGUGAUUCAGUAAAAGCUUAAGCAGCCUACUUUUGAUUAUAUACUGGAAAUUCCAUUCACAUAUGAGUUUGAUUUGCUCAAAAAUAAUAUUUGUCAGUUUCUCAACUAAUCUUAAAUUAAAAUAUAGGCCUGCUUACUCAUGUGUUUAGAAAUCUUUAACAGCAUAAAAAAAACAAUGUCUUACAUUUCACGUUUUUCUGUUUUCUGUCUAUGCAUAGAUGUGAGUAGACUACAAAACCUGGCUUUUAAUUGUUUGGUUAUUUCUGGUAAAUACUGAAAAUAACUCAGUGUAUGUCCCUAUCACCCUAACCCAAAACUGUUUUUAUCCUACUAAAGAAGCAAUAUUCUAACUGCUAAAAAUGCUCACACAGCAGCAGGUGAAAUGACUGACUUAUCGCAGUGUUUAAUGAUAUGUGAGGACUUCAGGCGCCAAUACAAUACAAAGUUGUAAUGGCAGGAUUGGGCUUCCAUAUAGGCCUAGCCCAGUCUCCAGGAAGGAACAAGCACUUGGUCACUAUAGGUCGCCGUCGAGGCCUCGGCUCGAAAUCCUUCCCCUGAGGACAACUGAAAGUUCUUGCUGAGACUCUUGAGUGUUUUCACUUGACUUCCUAAAGCACAAAAAAACUCACUGGCCCGUCCAUCCAGACCACUCUCCUGGGCAAGUGUGCGCGGUGAGGUUUCAUCCCUCGGUUCUUCUCAAGACGGUUUAUCAACGCCUGGAAGAAGACGGACAAGCAGUGAGAGAGAGGGAGGAGCGCAACGCAUGGACAGAGCACAGGCGCUGAACCUGUCACCUGGCUCCCCGAGCUCUGCUCCUGCUGCUGAAGCCCUGCGGUGUUCGUGCCGGGCUCGCGGUGCCAGUACA